UGGAUGAGCCCACAAAGAGCUGCUGAGCUGUUGCAUAUUUUGUUUGAGUGGGCGAUGCCGAGGCACUCGCUCACUCCAAAUUGAGAAUUUGGCCCAGUUGGCCGUCGUGGGCGCAUCGUGUUCUUGGUCAGCACUUCUGUGUCGUGGUUUGGAAACAUCUAUUGGCGUCUCUCAGACUCCACAAUUUGUCGAGGAAUUGCAUGUCAGCUGACUUGGCGGCAAAGUAUUAAAUCGGUUCCGUUAUGAGUCAGGAUGUUGGAUGGAGCCCACAAGGAGCAGUUGAGCUAUUUCAUAUUUGUUUUGAUCAUCUUGGGAGCUUGCGACUUCCAUGUCUUCAUUUAGAACGCGUUCCAAUGUUAACCGGACUCUCUGGAGGCCAUGCUCCAGGAGUGUUUCGUGGCUGAUGGCUGUAUUUAUCUGGGUGUGUUGUAGUUGCGGCUGCUGUGGUUGCGUCAGCGAUUGCAGGUUUCCUGUCCCCUGAGGUGAUGUCGUUAGCUGCUGUUGUGGCGUUACUGAUGCCUGUUGAGUCUGCAUUGGCAGAGUAUGCUGUGUUUGAUGAUUCUGCUGCCUCUCGUCCACAUAGUCUGGUAGGAUUAAUCGCUGGAUUGUUGGGGGUUGGCCUUGGAUGUUAGCCACUAGCUCUUCACGUGUAUUUGCUGGAGUUGGUGCCUGGCCUGGAUGACAGUCGUCGUUAGCUGAGUUUGUUGGAGUUGCGGCUGCUGUAGCUGCGGUUGCAACUGCGGAUUCACUGACUCCUGAGUUGGCGUAGUUAGCUGCUGUUGUUGCUG